AAUGUACUCCCUCCGUCCCAAAAUUCUUGUCUUAGAUUUGUCCAGAUACGGAUGUAUCAAUCAAGUUGAUACAUCCGUAUCUAGACAAAUCUAAGACAAGAAAUUUGGGACAGAGGGAGUAGUUG
rfam:Triticum aestivum genome assembly, contig: Triticum_aestivum_CS42_TGACv1_scaffold_595674_7BS